rnacentral:rRNA from 1 species
AGCUCCAAUAGCGUAUAUUAAAGUUGUUGCAGUUAAAAAGCUCGUAGUCUGAGUCUUGGCUGGCGGUGAGUGUCCGUGGCUACUUUUUGUUGGUCACGCGCAUACGAUAUUCCGUCUUGGCCUAUUGUACUUCGGAGGAACACGUGUGCUUUUCAUUAAGUGCGCGGCUGGGAUUCCGAUAGUUUACUUUGAGAAAAAUAGAGUGUUCAAAGCAGGCGUUUUUGCCAACUUUUGAAUACAUUAGCAUGGGAUAAUGAAAUAGGACAUUGGUUCUAUUUUGUUGGUUUACGGACCGAUGUAAUGAUUAACAGGAACAGUUGGGGACAUUUAUAUUCCAUGGCUAGAGGUGAAAUUCUUGGAUUCAUGGAAGAUAAACUACUGCGAAAGCAUUUGUCAAGGA